GAGUAUAAUAUAACGAAGUAUAUUAAAGUUCAGCUGAGCGUCUUGCCCUGGACAAGUUUUUCUGGUGCGCGGGACUCUCCGAUGCUACUUACAAGUUGUUUCUUGGAAGUGAGAAGCCUUCUCUUGGCACCAAACUGGGGCUUGGGAAUGCCAGCCAGGCUGGAAGCAAACUUCAGGGAGGAGAUCUCGGGAGAGAGAAAGUGAAAGGGAGGGGACGAGAGACAACGAGGAUGGGGGGGGGAGAGAGAGAAGGCGCACUAAAUGAAACUGGACGCCACUUCGCAUCACUAAUAGCCUUGUAAAUAAAUACCUUUUGGGGAACACACACACACACACACAUUUUAUAUGGGUAUAUAUUUAUAAUGUGUCUACGCACACACACACAAGCACACAUAUACGCGCCCACAUCUGUCUACAUAAACCACCCGUGUCCUGCUGUAAUUGCAGAGGCGUUCUUGCGUGGCCGUGGUCUGAGGUUGCGAAUGGGAGCCAUAAGCACUCAGGCCGCCUUUCUCCCACCCUCCUUCCCCUUUGCCAUUAUCCCGCGGCCUUGAAAUAAAGCCGGGGCCCAGAAACCGACUGUGGAGUUUGUGCGCCUUAAAUAAACAACAGGUCCCUCUUUAAAAUUCUCCAUCCACUCCAGAUGUCUAAAAAAAAAAAAAAAAAAGCAAGAUCGCGAUGAUUUUGUCAGGGUUUGGUAAAUUUACCCCUUUAAGAGGCUUUCAUAAAUCCCAGAACACACCUUCAGCCAGAUUUGAAUAUAGAUUUAGGUUUUAAAACCCAGUCGCAGGGAACACGGCUCUAUCAAAGAGAAUUUCCCCCGUUAGCUUAGCCAUAUUGGCGUCCGUAGGGCUCUUCAGGGGAAAAAGGAGGGGGAGGCAGAAAGAAGGAAGGAAGGAAGGAAGGAAGGAAGGAAGGAAGGAAGGAAGGAAAAGGACGAGGCGGGAAGAAAAAGAAGGAAGGAAAGAGAAAAAGAAUGGACUUGAAAGGAAGAGAAAGGGGAGAAGAGAGAGGGGAAAAAACGGUGGGUGUGUAUCCUAGAGGAAUCGGAACCAACUUUGAUUUUUUUUUUUUUUUUUUUUUUUGGAGGAACGGCCAUUCACACUACCGGGAGUUUUGCAGCGGAAGUGAAAGUUACAGAUUUCUCGCGGAUCGGCAGGGUGAUUUUUUGGGGGGAGGGGGAAGGAUGCGCCUGGAUCCCUUCCCCCGCCCCUGCGCAUUUCUAAUCCCCCCCCCGGUCCACUUGGAAACUCUUUAGAGUCCCAGCUGAAAUCCAAUUUGGAUCUGAAGGAACUGGAAUAGGGUCCAACUUUGGCGUCGCUGCUGUUUUGGGGACGGGAGAGCGCGCCCACCUUCUGUGAAGUUUGGGAUCCUUCAGAGCUUGCUGAAAAACAACCUCCAGCAGAUCCAGGAUGCUGGGAAUUGAGGUCAGAAACAUCUGGAGGAGCUACAGGUUCUCCAAUCUACGUGGUAGUUCUUCAGAUAUCUGAAGCUAACCGGAUCUUUUCCGUUGCAACUGAUCCUGAGGGCUACAGCAAUGGCAUUCCACUUAUGCUCUUGAGGAGCAGAGGCACACCGCAUCCAAAACCCUCCAUGAAUUUGCUUAAAAUUUUAUUAGGCUUAUACUACUGUUUUUCCUGGGUUUCCUAUCUCAAAGAAGCUUUUGGAAAUCAUAAGCAGAAAGGCAUCCAAGGAUCAUGAAAAUGUAUCCCAUAUGAUUUACAGUUAUGCCUCCAAUCCAGAACCUCAUUAAUGCUCCAUGCAUGGAGCUUUUCACAGGGUAACAUGCAAUGGAAUUUGAUAUCAAACCCGGAUAGUACUAAGUAGCCUUGUAAACCCCAACAUAGGCAUCUGAUAUAAACCUUGAGGAUAAAAAAAUGAUGAAGCCUCACACCGGACACAAAACAUAGUAUACAGAAUAAUGGAUUUAAGUGAGAAGAAGUAGAUUCAUCUGAAUGUUGGAGCUAAACCUCCUGACAGAAACAGUUCAACAGUGGAGCCAGCUCUUCGGGAGAAGAUAGUUGCACUGAGCAAAAUGCAGAUUUGAUUUUAACAGAUGUGGAGGAUAGUGAAGAUACCAGCCAAGACAUUUUUGUGGUAAGAGGCUAAUCCUAUCCUACUGUCUCCCGAUAUUGCCUUCUGUAGAGUAUAGUAUUAAGUUGUGAUGAAGCCAUUUGUAUAGAUUUGUGGAAAACAGUAAGCAGCACUAGGGAAGAAGGGAUGAACUUUAUUUACAAAUAAGUAUUCUCCUAUAUUUCACACAAUUGAUUGCUUGGAUUUUUGAAAGUGCUGAUUCAUAUAAAAGCAUUGAAUAUCACACAUUGUUAAGUUUUUCUGUACAAUCAUAUCAUCAAAUACCGGAAAGCAUCACAAAAAGUGGAUGCUUUAUAUCUGUAAAUCCAGAGUAUAUUCACCCUAAAAAAGUGAAUAGUCUUAAGGAUAGUUUUGGAGAGGGAAGACAAGAAAAUUCAACUUCACCUUUUAGCUUUGCAGUUAUAACUACCUAGCUUUGCGUUCAUAUUCUUUUUCCCUUUUUUCAUGUUUGCAACAAAAUAAAACUGAAUGAAAUUGCACUGUCUAUAUAUUGCCUUAUCUGCACCUCAGGCAUUUCUUUAUGUUGAAAUUUCCUCCCCAUGCUAUAAAAUAGAGCUCUGGUUGCUAUGUGAUCUCUGACUAUUAUCACCUAGAGAGUUUCCACUCUGGCACUAAACAUCGAGGAUUGCUUUUAAUACCUUGUUUAUAUCUAAAUGAAUAGCUUGAGCUUUGCAAUAGUUAAAAAUAGGGAUGGACAAAGAAUAAAGAGAGAAUAAAGACAUACCUCACUGUUUCUAGACUAGAACACCAAGCUUCUCCCCAGACCUUGGCCUGCACUUAAGGCAGCCAUGAAGCCAAUUUAACAG